rnacentral:rRNA from 1 species
UACGGAGGAUCCGAGCGUUAUCCGGAUUUAUUGGGUUUAAAGGGAGCGUAGGCGGGUUGUUAAGUCAGUUGUGAAAGUUUGCGGCUCAAUCGUAAAAUUGCAGUUGAUACUGGUAUCCUUGAGUACAGUAGAGGUAGGCGGAAUCCGUGGUGUAGCGGUGAAAUGCUUAGAUAUCACGAAGAACUCCGAUUGCGAAGGCAGCCUGCUGGACUGUAACUGACGCUGAUGCUCGAAAGUGUGGGUAUCAAACAGG